rnacentral:rRNA from 1 species
CCUUACGUCCGGGGCGACACACGUGUUACAAUGGCAGGUACAGCGGGAAGCCACCCGGCGACGGGGCGCAGAACCCGAAAACCUGUCUCUGUUCCGAUUGGAGUCUGCAACCCGACUCCAUGAAGCUGGAUUCGAUGGUAAUCGCGCAUCAGCCACGGCGCGGUGAAUACGUUCCCGGGCUUUGCACUCACCGCCGGUCAAGG